AAGUCGUAACAAGGUUUCCGUAGGUGAACCUGCGGAAGGAUCAUUAACACUAAUGAAAUCCAAAACCUUUUUGGAUCAACCCAACCUUAGCGAACCGUUCGUUUUUUCCCUUUGCCAUAUCAUUUUAUCAAACGCAAAAAAAUCUGAUGUAAAGUGUCUGAUUCUUAUUCUAGCUGUAACGGCUGGAAUCAAAAAUCUAACGCAAUACAACUCUUAACAACGGAUAUCUUGGCUCUC
rnacentral:misc_RNA from 1 species